rnacentral:lncRNA from 12 species
CCGGACCUUUCUCCUUCCACAGGAUCCUUCUAGAUAAAGUAGGGUGAUUUAAAAAGUGAUGCUCUUCUUUCUGAAGAGGGGCAGAAGAGUUUGUCCAGCAUGUUGCUCCGUGACAGGGUGAGGCUCAGGUGCCCUUGUGAGCUGAGAUCACUGCUCUUUGCACUGGGCCACUCUGAGACUGGCACAAUGAACAGAACCUCCUGUUGAACGUUUCUCUCCUUCUGGGAUGAACUGUGGGAAGAGCAUGAAAGGUCUCCCAGCUCUCGAGUGAACCAGGCUGUGCUCACGCUGCAAAACAGGUGGCUCCAGGCAUGUUAGUGAUACCAUUGCUGAAGUGUGGUCCAGAUGGCUAUGGGAGGAAGAGAGCAUCUUAUUGGGAGGGGAGGUCAGUACUGCUCUGUGCUGUUAAGUUCCUCCAGAUAUGUCUACUGUGGCAGGUGGAACAUUGCCCAAAGCAAAGCCUGGAUCCUGGUGUGAACCAUGGCACUGAAUGACACUGUCAGCCCUUGGUGCUCUUGAGGCUAGUCUGUGUUGCAGGCACAAACACUUUUAAGUGCAUGCUGAGGCAUGGCAGGUGUC